UUGAAUUGUUUUGUUUAAUCCAUUGCAGGUAAUGCAUGUCAAUACUUCAGUUGUUAAUGGCAUAAAAGGUGCAAGUAAGGCAAUGGAAGCCAUGAACAAGUAAAUGGCACUUGCAAAGCAAAUGAAGGUGAUUCAAGAAUUUUAGAAGCAAGCAACACAAAUGGAUAUGACAAGUGAGAUGAUGUUAGAAUCGCUUGACAAUGUCUUAGAUGAUGAUGAGGCCGAAGAGGAAACUGAGAAACUGACUAACCAGGUAAACUUCACUUUUAUUUAAUACUGGAAUCUGCUCUAUGGAGCUAACCAUGUCAUGAGUGUUUAGAAGUAGAGGAUGGGAUUAGUAGUUUUAAUCAGUACACUACACGCAUUAACAAUUUAUUCAUUGUUCUCUUUAGAUAUUCUAUCAGUAAUUUCAUGCUUUGCUAGCCCCAAAUAUCUGGGACAAGCUACAAUGAUAAUCUUUAACUUAUGGAAUAUUUUAGCGGAUGGAGCUACUGCUAAUAGGUUUCCAUGGUGUGUUAUGGGGAUCUUCAAUGCCAUACUAUAUGAGAAGCAAAAGGUCCAUCAAUCAAUCUGUUUCUUGUUACUGGAUUUCAGGAAAUCAUUUCUGAUUGUGACUUCCUGAAUAUUGGAGAUUCAAAGCACCCAUUCACAUGGAAUAACAAUCGCAAGCAAACCAGUUUUGUUGCAGGAUGGUUGGAUUAAACUCUUGUAGAUUUAGAAUGGGUAAGAAAAAGCAUUGUUUUCUUCACCAUCUGGACAAAGUUGCAUAUGAUCAUUCUCUAUUUUUGCUCAAUGGCAGCAGAUCCUUCAACUGGAAAAGAUCUCCAUUUAAAUUUGAAAAAACAAUGUGGAUUUAUCCAUCCAUCUUUCUUAGAUGUGGUUAUGGAUUAUGCUAACUCAUUUUGGAUAUAAUUGCAUCAUUAUAGACAACACAUAGUUUAGGACCCUAUACAAGAAAACUCAUUGUGCAUACUUGUUUUUUGUAAUGUUUUCAAGAGUGUAUAAUCAUUGAA